CCAUCGAGAGGCGUCCAAAUUUGAUUACGUAAAUUCCGGAAACCCCUCGUCGGAUAAUCGGAGGAGGAAGGCAAGGGCUGCGGUAUUUUGGCGGCGCGGGCUGCGGGCGAUUUUCCGGAUUUUUCCGGGAGAUUGGCCGCGAAAGCACCGCGCACUGUUGGCUGAAUUAUUGGAUUUCCAGGUGGCGGCGAGGCCUGGCCUGGCGUUACGGGAGCUAAACCGGGGAGUGAAAGUGAUCCGGUGAUCUUUCUCCCGUGACAGACCGCGGAGGGCGAGGCAGUCCUUCGCCAGUGUUCCUCCGGGUUUAUAUACGCUCAUAGUGUUUCGCCCGUUACUGGGAACGCGAUUCUGCCUCUUUGCCAUGGUUCAGUUCCAAGGAAUAGUCCGCGGGUCUCCUUGAUCAGGGAUUCGCUCUGGCUAUAGCCGCCCGCGGAGGCUUCGCGGCUCCGUUCCUGAAACCCUACACGGAGCCCCCGAUCCCACACACACACCACCACGGCGACCACUACCACGGCGAACGCGGCGCCUACGAGAGUCAACACAAAGUCGAUCUCGAGAGCCAACAUCAACUCAGCUACGACAGCGUCAAGAAGACUCAGAUAGGCGGGGCCACGGGUACUCCGGCUCAGGUUACGGAACUUCAGGUCUCGGUCACGGGUCAGGAGGUCUCGGAUCCCCAGGUUUAGGCCACGGGUCAGGAGGUCUCGGAUCCCCGGGUUUCAGCCACGGGUCAGGAGGUCUCGGAUCCCCGGGUCUCAGCCACGGUUCCGGCUCCCCCACCUUCAGCCAAGGCCCCAUCGGAGGCCCCCACAAAGACAUCGGCUACGGAUCCCCCACUUUCAGCGGUGGCCCCCGCACGGAUUACGGCCUCCCGAGUUUGGGCCACCAGAGCGGCGGUUUCGGCCAGUCGGGCGCUGGGAGCUUCAGCCAGUCCUCGGCCGGGAGUUUCAGCCAAUCCAGCGCGGGCAGCGUGGCGCACUCCGCGAGCGGCGUCGGCCACCAGAGCGGUUUAGGCCACGGCGGUCCGGAUUACGGCCACCAGACGAAACUCGACCACGACCUCAAGGGCCACGGUCUGGUCGGGCCGGGGCACAGGAUUGACUCGGUCGGUGACAGGUAUGCCAAGCGGGAUGAGGAGCACGUUAGAACCGGGAGUUCAUCCUUCAGCACGAGUUACAGCAGCUCCAACGCUGGCGCCAACUCUUAUAAGGAGUCCACGAUGAGGAGAUACUGAUAGACGAUUUAACUGAAAUUCCAGUGCGUUGAGGCGUGGUUGUACGAUCAAUAUCAUCGUCGAUAUCCCAAGGUCAGGCAGUUGGUGUCAACCGGAAAUGGACUACAUUUUGCAAUUAGGAACUAUGAAUUCCGGCCCGGUUCAAAAACAACGUAUGUGCCAUUAAUUCCUCUGCGCACAUAAGUGUUUUAUCAGUUAAGCCAGAAUUUAUAGGUCCAAAUUGCAAAAUGCAGUCCAAAUGAAGUAACGAAAAGUCCAAGUUCAAAAGGUUCGGCUAGAUGGACUUCAUUUUGCGAUUCGGAAGUACAACUUGCUACCCAUCUGUAAAAGCACUUAUCUGGAUAGAGAAACUAAUGGUACAUACGAUGGUAUUAAACUAAGGCACAAUUUAUAGUUCCUAAUUGCAAAAUGUAGUCCAAAUCAUCGUUUUCCAGAUGAAAGAACGUAACUAUCCUCUAUUUGGACUACAUUUAGCAAUUUUGAACUAUACAUUCUAGCCCGGUUUGAUAACAACGUAUGUGCCAUUAGUUUUCCUAUGCAUAUAGGUGUUUUUCCGGAAGAACCAGAAUUCAUAGUUCCAAAUUGCAAAAUGCAGUUCUGUACUCAUGGUAAUCUUGGGUUUUAAAAAAGGGGCUAUACUCUUUGAGGGGAUCGCUUGAGGCACUGUAUCCGACAUUUUGAAAUAUUUAGUGAGAGUUAAAAUGUAUGAUAAGCGGUUUAGGGUUUUGCUGAUAUUAUGAAGAAUUCGAGGGGAACUUUGUGAUUCGCGAAUUAAUGUUCAUAUAAGGUAUGCAAAGCGGAAAAAUACUUGAACUGAAUUAGAAAUAUAGGAGAAAGGAAGGGAUUUCGUUCGGAUUUAUUUGUGUAAAAUUAUGUCGUCGGCACUUCAAUACCAACGCCAAGUCUUUAUUGUGAUAUUAAGAAUAGGAGUGCCUCAUCAGUUUUACAUAAUUAAGAAAGUUUACUUAUGAAUGUGGAUAUAUGUGUAAGAAAAUUUGGAGGUUAUUCUAACUCCUAGAGAAUUGUGUAUAAAUAAACUUUUUGAGAAGAGGAUACUUCACGACUGCGUUUAUUAUUUUCACAAUUCAAAACCAUUAUUUACCAUUGAAUCAUCGAAUUAAAAACCAGACAUCUUGAAAAUGAUAAGAAAAUUUCUUUGUACGAACAUAUCACGAAUUUAAAAAUGAAGCGGCUAGUCUAGAGACUGGUAAACGACCUCUAAAUAAGAUCAUUGAUUUUUUCCUUAAACAUCUUGAUCAACAUUACUAAUAUCUAAUUUUUUACGAGGCCAAAAAAAAAAAAGAAGAAAAAAGGGAAAAAAGUGAGAGUAGAAACUUUACAAUUCAUUGUCUGUACACGUUAUCAACACCACAGACGUAAUCAUUGCACCAUAAAAAAAGGGUCAGACAGCGGAAUUAAAACAGUAAUCGGGGCUCCUUAAAAUAUAUAAUGAGGUGUGGAGAUCGAAAUAAAAUAUUUAGCUGGAGAAGUGGAUUGGUUAAGGAAACUCUUGACGAUGAGAGAAAAACUGAUGGUUUAAAAUAGUUGCCACGCAUUCGAUUGCGAUAUCUCUAUUUUUUUCUAGCCAUGUGCUUGCGAGUAUCAAGGUCGCUAUGUACCCAUGCACAUACGGUGCAAUGUCACGAGAUAAAUCAUUCAAUCAGGAUGAUAAGUCAUUAUAAAUUGUGGGUCAUACUUCUAGCAUAUGUGUUACCCUUGCAAUGUUUACUCGAUGAGCAUACAUCAGCAUAUCUAAGAGCAAGUACGAAUGUCCAAAUUCUAAGUAUUUCACUAGGGGUUCUGUACACGCGAG
rnacentral:lncRNA from 1 species